GCCGGCCGCCGAAGGGUGUCGGCUACGUUUUAGCCGCCAACUGUCCAUCGGCUGAACGGCGCAGUGCUCUAAAUAGUGUUUUCAGUAAAUU